AGCAGAGUGGCUUAGUGGGAACAGCGCGGGCUUGGGAGUCAGAAGAUGUGGGUUCUAAUCCCGGCUCUGCCA
rnacentral:tRNA from 1 species